AUUGAACGCUGGCGGCAGGCCUAACACAUGCAAGUCGAGCGGAUGAAGAGAGCUUGCUCUCUGAUUUAGCGGCGGACGGGUGAGUAAUGCCUAGGAAUCUGCCUGGUAGUGGGGGAUAACGUUCCGAAAGGAACGCUAAUACCGCGUACGUCCUACGGGAGAAAGCAGGGGACCUUCGGGCCUUGCGCUAUCAGAUGAGCCUAGGUCGGAUUAGCUAGUUGGUGAGGUAAUGGCUCACCAAGGCGACGAUCCGUAACUGGUCUGAGAGGAUGAUCAGUCACACUGGACCUGAGACACGGUCCAGACUCCUACGGGAGGCAGCAGUGGGGAAUAUUGGACAAUGGGCGAAAGCCUGAUCCAGCCAUGCCGCGUGUGUGAAGAAGGUCUUCGGAUUGUAAAGCACUUUAAGUUGGGAGGAAGGGCGUUUGGCUAAUAUCCAGGCGUUUUGACGUUACCAACAGAAUAAGCACCGGCUAACUUCGUGCCAGCAGCCGCAGUAAAAC
rnacentral:rRNA from 1 species